CAACUCGCCCCCCCACCGCCCGCCCCAAAGACGUGGAGGGGGGGACGGAUGGGGCAGCGCCGCUCCCGGAGGCCUCUGGUCCUGUGCGGAAAAAGGAAUGACAUAGAGGGAACAGGUCAGCACAGCAGUAUCUCAGCUCCAACAAGGAAAGAGAAUAAUUCACAUGGUUCCAAAGCUCAAGAGAGCAGCUCCUCAUUUUAGCUCGCUCAGGGCAGAAGAUGCUCAACCCCGCCGCCCCAGCGGGGUGAAAAUCCAGCUGAGGUGGAGGUGCAGAGCAAGUCAGAGGAGGUUAUUUCGUUAUUAUCAUCAGUGACACAUCACCAGUGAGACCUGAUUUCGUCAUUAUCAUCCUGUGGAGACCUGAGUGGACGAGGUCUGAUUCCUGAAUCUCCACUGAUUCAUCCCUGAGGCUGCUGGGAUGCAACUGGCACCCUUUGCCCAGUGACUCACGGCAUUCGUGGAAAGAAGAAAGAGGCCUCAGUUUCUUUUUCAGCUGAGGGAACAGAAGUGCCCCUUGCUUUCUCCAUCCUGAGAAAAACCCGUGUGAGAGAAGGACAAAACAAAACUGCUCCCUCCGGGCAGCUCAGCUCAUUUUCUGGGUGCUCCCAGAAAACCCCUUGGCUUUUCCUGGAUGGCCCCUUUGGAGCUGGAGAGUUUUCCUCCCCUCUGGGAGCCUCUGAUGAUGAAUCUGCAGCUCAACUACACCCUGUUCUCGCUGCCCUUUUGGAAAGGAAAAAAAAAAAAGUGUUUGUGCAAGGCGAUUUCUGAGGUUAUAAAAAUAU